rnacentral:rRNA from 1 species
AGGAAGGAGAAGUCGUAACAAGGUUUCCGUAGGUGAACCUGCGGAAGGAUCAUUGUCGAUUCCUGCGAUAGCAGAAUGACCCGCUAACACGUAAACACACCGGGCCAGCGUCGGGGGGCUUGAGUCCCCCGUUUGCGAACCCCAGGAAGGUGGGUGCUCUCGGGUGCCCAUCGACCGACGAAACCAACCGGGCGCGGUAUGCGCCAAGGAAAUCAAAACUGAAUUGUACGUCUGCUUCCCGUCCGUGGGAAGAGGCGUCUUUCCGAAACACAAACGACUCUCGGCAACGGAUAUCCCGGCUCUCGCAUCGAUGAAGAACGUAGCGAAAUGCGAUACUUGGUGUGAAUUGCAGAAUCCCGUGAACCAUCGAGUCUUUGAACGCAAGUUGCGCCCGAUGCCAUUAGGUUGAGGGCACGCCUGCCUGGGUGUCACGCAUCGUGUUGCCCCUGACCACUCUCUCCUUGAGGAGAUGAGCCGGUCUGGGGGCGGAUACUGGCCUCCCGUGCCUUGCGGCGUGGCUGGCCCAAAAGCGAGUCUCUGGCGACGGACGUCGUGACAUUUGUGGUUGUAAAAAGACCCUAUUCUCUUGUUGCGCGAAUACCCGUCACCUAAGGGAGCUCGAUGACCCUUCUGCGCCACAAACCGUGUGCGCUCGACUGUGACCCCAGGUCAGGCGGGACU